GGGAAAUCUGAGCAGAGAAUCUGAUCAUGUAGGAAGCUGGAGAAUGUGUUCCGGGUGGAAAGCACAGCCCAAGAAUAAUGCAAGAUGAGAAUGAACUUGACAAGUUUGCUGUAUAAUAAGAUUGUGGACUUCCAAUAUGAUUUUGAAAAGGAGUGGCUCCAAGUUCCUGAUCUUGGGAGAAAGCAUCCAGCCUAUCACCAUUAAGCAUGUUGUCACUUAAAUUGUGGCGAAUCCAAAUUCUCCACAGUGAAGCAGAAGAGGACAACUCUGACGCAGUCCUUCCGAGUGAGAACAAGCACCUUCCUCAUCUGAGGAAGACUAUAGAUAUUUCAUGUUACUCAUAGCUGAAUCUAACCCCUUAAUAAGUUUUCAACUAUGUUUGAUUAUGUGUUAAUAAAACCAUGUGGAAGAUUACUAAUGAUUGAUUCAAUUUCUUUAAUAUACAAAGUGUAUAUUAUCUAUCUCUCCUUGUGUGAAUUUUGAUAGUUUAUGUCUUUCAAGAAAUUGGUCCAUUUCACCUGAGUUGUCAAAUUUGUGGACCUAGAGUAUAGUAUAUGUCAUUUUAAUGUCCAUUAGUGAUGACGUCUCUUUUAUUUCUAAUAAUGAUAAUUCACGUCUUCUCUCUUUUUGACUUGGUUAGCCAGACCAGAGUUUGCUCUGGGGAGUUUUUAAAUUAUGAAUUCAAUUUUCUUAUCAACUACAGAGCUAUUCAGGCUAUCUAUUUCUUUUUGUGUGC
rnacentral:lncRNA from 1 species